AUGAUGAUGCUACCAGGCAGGCAUUAUUGGGUCUUCAACGUCAACUUGAGGGACGAACGUUUUGAAGUUCUUGAUUCAAGCAGGAAGCUAGACGACAUUGAGCUGAUGAACACCGCCUCUACCAUUGCGGGGGCAGUACGCCAGCUAUGGAGGAAGUAUUACCCAAAGCACAACAUCGAGCACUUCCAGAUUAUUGACAUUGACGUACCGAAGCAGCUCGGCAACAAUGAGUGUGGGAUGUUCGCACUGCUUAACGCCACUGAGUGGAACGGUAGCCAACUGCCCAACUACGAACCCAAGGAAGUACUCAACAUCAGGAAGAAGCUGGCAUAUGAUUGGGUCACCAGCACGCACAACUCCGCCCCAUGGAGGAAGUUGCUCAGAUACGACAAGGACUAG
rnacentral:rRNA from 1 species